ensembl:misc_RNA 7SK 7SK RNA
GGAUGUGAGGGGGAUCUGGCUGCCAUAUCUGUCACCCUAUUUAUCGCCAGGAUUGAUUUGGCUGAUCUGGCUGGUUAGGCGAGUAUCCCCUUCCUCCCUCACGGCUCCAUGUGCUUCCCUCGGGAAGCUGUGAGCUUGGUCGAAGAGGAAGGCCUUCCCUGAAUAGAGAUGAACCUGUCUUCGGUCUAGGGUAUAUAAGUAGCUGCGCUCCCCUGCUAGAACCUCCAAACAAGCUCUCAAGGUCCAUAAGAAAUAUUUGUAUUCACUCUCCAGGUGGUCUCAUCAAUUCAAUAAGCUGAUAAUUUAGCUUUCUAU